rnacentral:lncRNA from 10 species
AACACUGGCGGAGCCCCAGGUGGCGACGCGGGCGGCGAGAGCUGCUCCGAGGCGGGGGCCUCGGGCAGGUCGCUCUCCACGCAGUACACGGAGCAGAAGACUUGUCUCUUGGCGAGGGACGGGCGCCGCUGACCCAGCACGUCCAGGACCAGUCCGUCGGCGGCCCCCACGCGGGUCCUGGGCUCCAGCUCUUCGCCGGGGGGCGCCUCCUGCUGUUCAUCCCCUCCCUCUUUUCGAUCCCCAGCUUCCUCCUCUUCCUCCUCCAGCUCCAACUGCAGUGGCAAGGUCUGGGGAUUGAGAGGCCCGGCAUGACUAAGAGAUAUCGUGAAAUUACAACUCAACAAUGAAUUACAGCACAGGCUUUUCACAACUAAGAGACUGUCCAUCAUGGUGCCAGUUUUUCUCAAAAUGGCAUGUGUGCAUGAAAUUCUACAGGCAUAUGGGGUCGUGAUCUGCUAAUCUCCAGUUAUUAUAACUACUUUGAAAAGGGACUUUCCAGCUAUCAGUACACUAUCUCACAAUUACCCUUGAACCAGAAGACAAUGAAUGAUUUGCUAAACAGAUGGCAUAGUCUAUGACAUGCAUCAUAUGUGUGAGCAAUCACAGAAGACCAAAUUAUGAUUGUAUGUCCCAGAAAUUCACUUAGAAGCUAAUAGAAAAAAUGAAACCAAAGCCUUUUGAGAGUUGAAAAUUUAUCAUGACAUAUGCUGGCUGCACAGUCAAAACUUAUCACUGCCCACGACUUCGGAAGCAUGACAGGAGAGCUGUGGGAGCCACUUCCUCGUCAGACGUGGUUUGAUAUGUCAAGUGAGAACCUGAGUAAAGCAAAGAGGUGAACUAUGACUUGGAAUCCUCCAGGCUUUGGCUUCCAUCACACUCCAUGAACUUGAUGCACAUAAUUUAAUAAACUGCUGAUGCUGACCUGUGCCUCAAGAGGCUUGCCUGUUUGGGGGAGAAGCCUGAUGUGGAGACCAUUGGAAGAGGCUAAGGCAAGCUACCUGUUCCUUAAACAGAUUGUUCAACCUAUUCCAGUUUUUGGUCCUCUACCUCACACAUUCCUUCCACUUCCAAAUCCUGUUGUUAGAGGAUGUUACCUGCCAAAUUUGUACUUUGGAAUCCUCCUCUGCAUGUUCAUAAGUUUUUGGGUUUUCCUUUCUGCUCACUUGCCAAUCCUCUAUCUACUUUCAAUCUUCUAAAAAUUGCUGAAACUUCUUGUCUCACUGU